GCCUGGGUAGCUCAGCUAGUUAGAGCACGUCUUUGGUAAAGACGAGGUCAGCGGUGCAACUCCGCUCUCAGGCU
rnacentral:tRNA from 1 species